rnacentral:rRNA from 1 species
GCUUAACGCGAAGAACCUUACCUACCUUUGAAUCCACGGAACCUAGCAGAGAUGUUGGGGUGCCUUCGGGAACCGUGAGACAGGUGCUGCAUGGCUGUCGUCAGCUCGUGUCGUGAGAUGUUGGGUUAAGUCCCGUAACGAGCGCAACCCUUGUCCUUAGUUGCCAUCAGGUUAUGCUGGGCACUUUAAGGAGACUGCCGGUGAUAAACCGGAGGAAGGUGGGGAUGACGUCAAGUCCUCAUGGCCCUUACAGGUAGGGCUACACACGUGCUACAAUGGGCAGUACAGAGGGAAGCCAACCCGCGAGGGGGAGCGAAUCUCAUAAAGCUGUUCGUAGUCCGGAUUGGAGUCUGCAACUCGACUCCAUGAAGUUGGAAUCGCUAGUAAUCGCGGAUCAGAAUGCCGCGGUGAAUACGUUCCCGGGUCUUGUACAC